rnacentral:rRNA from 1 species
AGAGUUUGAUCAUGGCUCAGAUUGAACGCUGGCGGCAUGCCUUACACAUGCAAGUCGAACGGUAACAGGUCUUCGGACGCUGACGAGUGGCGAACGGGUGAGUAAUACAUCGGAACGUGCCCAGUCGUGGGGGAUAACUACUCGAAAGAGUAGCUAAUACCGCAUACGAUCUGAGGAUGAAAGCGGGGGACCUUCGGGCCUCGCGCGAUUGGAGCGGCCGAUGGCAGAUUAGGUAGUUGGUGGGAUAAAAGCUUACCAAGCCGACGAUCUGUAGCUGGUCUGAGAGGACGACCAGCCACACUGGGACUGAGACACGGCCCAGACUCCUACGGGAGGCAGCAGUGGGGAAUUUUGGACAAUGGGCGAAAGCCUGAUCCAGCAAUGCCGCGUGUAGGAUGAAGGCCUUCGGGUUGCACACUGCUUUUGUACGGAACGAAAAACCUUCUCCUAAUACCAGAGGCCCCAUGACCCUACCCGUAA